rnacentral:lncRNA from 1 species
AUUUUUGUAUGAUUUUUAUUUCUGGAAAUCAAUCUGAAAUCUACAACAGUCCAUUUCCGAAAGUCGGGCUGGACCUUUACUUUUAUGUGCAUUCGGGAUUUACACAAAUUGUAACCCGAAUAAUUCAGUCGUAUUAUUCAGCUGAUGUACGAAUGCUACAUUUCUCGUGUGGGAGAAAAUCGGACAUGGAAAGGGCUUGAAUUAUUCGAGUUACUCAAAUUGAAACUCGGGAAUAUAUUUCUAGCUGUUCGGAAUUCGCGGAAACAAAUGAUUGUUUUUCGGCAUUACGGUAUUGAAUCAAUAGAGAUACCAAUUAUUUCUUUUAACAAAUUCGAAUACCAGUCAGUUUAUAGGACUUCAGUUUGAAAUAGGGGCGGCAAUCCAUUCAUUUUAUCCAAUCAAUUGGAAGGGGGGGGUCAACAUUGAUAGUCAAAAAGCCUUGAAAUAUUCGAUAAAAAAACGUUGAAUGUAAAUUAUAUGAACUCCAAAGUCUCAUAUUAUAAGACUAGUAAACCACAGGCUUCUCAAUUCUUGUAUGAUCAUGAACUAGGUGAAAACCUAGAGCUGACCGAGUGCGAGAUCCUCAUGGAUAAUCAUCGAGGUCGUUAAACACCCCUUGCAGUAAACUUUGGUUAAAUUUAAAAAAAAAAAUCGAAAUGUAAUAGUCUGAACACAUUUCACCUCUCAUUCCACUAAAUAUUAAAUUGCAGUUACAAGUAUCACAAAACUUCCCUGACCUCUUUUCUUUAACCAUAAUAGAGGGAGGAGGGAAGGAGGGAUCCAGAUCCCGAAAUCCCGGGCUUAAAAACACGAAAUCCGGCGAGGUCCCGAAUUAAAAAAAAAAUUAAAUCCCGACUACCCGAAAUUCGGAAAUAGAAUUCCCGGAUCCCGAAAGGGUCAAUCCCGAAAUCCCGAGCUUAAAAACACCCGAUCCCGGAGUUCCGAUAAAGGUCCUACCCCCUCCCCCCGUAAUUCUAUAUUCUAUUCAUUCAUAAUCUUGAAUUGAGACUUGAUACUUCAAAAUUACAUUCUCUGAAUGAUGCACACAGGCAC